UACAGGGGGUGCAAACGUUGCUCGGAAUCAUUGGGCGUAAAGCGCACGUAGGCGGUUCGUUAUGUCGGAUGUGAAAGCCCUUGGCUUAACCGAGGAAGUGCAUCCGAAACUGGCGAGCUAGAGUACGAAAAGAGGAUCGCGGAAUUCCCGGUGUAGCGGUGAAAUGCGCAGAUAUCAGGAGGAACACCGGUGGCGAAGGCGGUUCUCUGGGCAUUCCCUGACGCUGAGGAGCAAAAAGUGUGGGGAGCGAACAGG
rnacentral:rRNA from 1 species